AUUGAACGCUGGCGGAAUGUUUUACACAUGCAAGUCGAACGGCAGCACGGACUUCGGUCUGGUGGCGAGUGGCGAACGGGUGAGUAAUACAUCGGAACGUGCCCAGUCGUGGGGGAUAACGUAGCGAAAGCUACGCUAAUACCGCAUACGAUCUACGGAUGAAAGCGGGGGAUCGCAAGACCUCGCGCGAUUGGAGCGGCCGAUGGCAGAUUAGGUAGUUGGUAUGGUAAAGGCCUACCAAGCCGACGAUCUGUAGCUGGUCUGAGUGGAUGAUCAGCCACACUGGGACUGAGACACGGCCCAGACUCCUACGGGAGGCAGCAGUGGGGAAUUUUGGACAAUGGACGCAAGUCUGAUCCAGCCAUUCCGCGUGCAGGAUGAAGGCCCUCGGGUUGUAAACUGCUUUUGUACAGAACGAAAAGGCUCUGGUUAAUACCUGGGGCUCAUGACGGUACUGUAAGAAUAAGCACCGGCUAACUACGUGCCAGCCGCCGCUGUAA
rnacentral:rRNA from 1 species